AUUGAACGCUGGCGGCAGGCCUAACACAUGCAAGUCGAGCGGUAACAGUCCUUCGGGAGCUGACGAGCGGCGGACGGGUGAGUAACGCGUAGGAAUCUACCUGGUAGUGGGGGAUAGCCCGGGGAAACUCGGAUUAAUACCGCAUACGCCUUAAGGGGGAAAGCAGGGGAUCUUCGGACCUUGUGCUAUCAGAGGAGCCUGCGUUGGAUUAGCUGGUUGGUAGGGUAAAGGCCUACCAAGGCGACGAUCCAUAGCUGGUCUGAGAGGAUGAUCAGCCACACCGGAACUGAGACACGGUCCGGACUCCUACGGGAGGCAGCAGUGGGGAAUAUUGGACAAUGGGGGCAACCCUGAUCCAGCCAUGCCGCGUGUGUGAAGAAGGCCUUCGGGUUGUAAAGCACUUUAAGUGGGGAGGAAGGGGUGACAGCUAAUACCUGUCAUCAUUGACGCUACCCACAGAAUAAGCACCGGCUAACUCCGUGCCAGCCGCCGCGGUAACAC
rnacentral:rRNA from 1 species